rnacentral:rRNA from 1 species
UACGUAGGGGGCAAGCGUUGUCCGGAAUCAUUGGGCGUAAAGAGCGUGUAGGCGGCCCGAUAAGUCCGCUGUGAAAGUCCAGGGCUCAACCCUGGAAUGCCAGUGGAAACUGUCGGGCUGGAGUCCGGAAGAGGAGAGUGGAAUUCCUGGUGUAGCGGUGAAAUGCGCAGAUAUCAGGAAGAACACCCGUGGCGAAGGCGGCUCUCUGGGACGGUACUGACGCUGAGACGCGAAAGCGUGGGGAGCGAACAGG